GCAGUCGAGCGGACAGAUGGGAGCUUGCUCCCUGAUGUUAGCGGCGGACGGGUGAGUAACACGUGGGUAACCUGCCUGUAAGACUGGGAUAACUCCGGGAAACCGGGGCUAAUACCGGAUGCUUGUUUGAACCGCAUGGUUCAGACAUAAAAGGUGGCUUCGGCUACCACUUACAGAUGGACCCGCGGCGCAUUAGCUAGUUGGUGAGGUAACGGCUCACCAAGGCGACGAUGCGUAGCCGACCUGAGAGGGUGAUCGGCCACACUGGGACUGAGACACGGCCCAGACUCCUACGGGAGGCAGCAGUAGGGAAUCUUCCGCAAUGGACGAAAGUCUGACGGAGCAACGCCGCGUGAGUGAUGAAGGUUUUCGGAUCGUAAAGCUCUGUUGUUAGGGAAGAACAAGUGCCGUUCAAAUAGGGCGGCACCUUGACGGUACCUAACCAGAAAGCCACGGCUAACUACGUGCCAGCAGCCGCGGUAAUACGUAGGUGGCAAGCGUUGUCCGGAAUUAUUGGGCGUAAAGGGCUCGCAGGCGGUUUCUUAAGUCUGAUGUGAAAGCCCCCGGCUCAACCGGGGAGGGUCAUUGGAAACUGGGGAACUUGAGUGCAGAAGAGGAGAGUGGAAUUCCACGUGUAGCGGUGAAAUGCG
rnacentral:rRNA from 1 species